UACGAAGGGGGCGAGCGUUGUUCGGAUUUACUGGGCGUAAAGGGCGCGUAGGCGGCCAGGUAGGUCCGCUGUGAAAACCCGAGGCUCAACCUCGGGACGUCGGCGGAAACCAUCUGGCUAGAGUCCGGAAGAGGAGAGUGGAAUUCCCGGUGUAGCGGUGAAAUGCGCAGAUAUCGGGAAGAACACCCGUGGCGAAGGCGGCUCUCUGGGACGGCACUGACGCUGAGACGCGAAAGCGUGGGGAGCGAACAGG
rnacentral:rRNA from 1 species